GGCAAGAUGGCCGAGUUGGUUAAGGCGGAAGACUUAAGCGUUGCACGCAGUUUUCUUCUGGAGCAAUCCUCGUGGGUUCGAAUCCCACUCUUGUCA